AUACGUAGGGUGCAAGCGUUAAUCGGAAUUACUGGGCGUAAAGCGUGCGCAGGCGGUUUUGUAAGACAGAGGUGAAAUCCCCGGGCUCAACCUGGGAACUGCCUUUGUGACUGCAAAGCUAGAGUACGGCAGAGGGGGAUGGAAUUCCGCGUGGAGCAGUGAAAUGCGUAGAUAUGCGGAGGAACUCCGAUGGCGAAGGCAAUCCCCUGGGCCUGUACUGACGCACAUGCACGAAAGCGUGGGGAGCAAACAGGAUUAGAUACCCUGGUAGUCCACGCCCUAAACGAUGUCAACUGGUUGUUGGGUCUUCAUUGACUCAGUAACGAAGCUAACGCGUGAAGUUGACCGCCUGGGGAGUACGGCCGCAAGGUUAAAACUCAAAGGAAUUGACGGGG
rnacentral:rRNA from 1 species